rnacentral:tRNA from 1 species
AUUAUCUUAGUAAAAUUUUAUUAUGUCGUCUUGAUAAGGCGGAGUUCUAUUUGAGGUAAUA